GACGAACGCUGGCGGCGUGCUUAACACAUGCAAGUCGAACGGAACGGCCCUGUUUAUGUGGGGUGCUCGAGUGGAGACCGGGUGAGUAACCCGUGAGUUACCUGCCCCUGCCUUUGGGGUAACUUCAUGACACUGAGGCUCAUACCGGAUAGGAGCUCUUGCCGUUUGGUGGGGGUUGGAAGGUUUCGGCGGUUGGGGAUGGACUAGCGGCCUAUCAGUUUGUUGGUGUGGUAGUGGCUUACGAAGGCUUUGACGGGUAGCCGGCCUGCGAGGGGCACCGGCCACGUUGCGACUGAGAUACGGCCCAGACUCCUACGGGAGGCAGCAGUGGAGAAGAUUGCACAAUGGGCGGAACCCUGAUGCAGCAACGCCACGUGCGGGAUGACGGCCUUCGGGUUGUAUUCCGAAUUCGCCUGUGACGAAGCGUGAGUGACGGUAAUGGGUAAAGAAGCACCGGCUAACUACGUG
rnacentral:rRNA from 1 species